UGGCGGUGGUUGUUGGAGGUGGUUGGCGGUGGUUGGAGGUGGACGAGGAGAAGGACGAGGAAGUCAAGGAAAACAAGGUGAACGAGGAGGACGAGGAUUUGUGCUCGUUCUGUGCCCCACCUAGUGAUCCACUAGUACAUAUCCUCCGACGUGACAUCGCUGUGCUACGUAUAAAGAAGAAAAGAUUUAUUAAGAUGUAGAUUGCUCCUCUCUUGCCAUUGUGCUUUCAGCCAUUGUUGUGGUGUGUGUUUAAAAUUAAGGACAGUAUAUAUAUAAUAUAGAAUAACAGGUACAGCUACGAAUAUAGCACUACAAUAAAUCUUAUAGAAAUGA
rnacentral:misc_RNA from 1 species